AAAGGAUGAAAGGCAAAAAUUGACCUCGGCAGAAUUUGAACUCGGAACGUAAAGACAUACAAAAUACUGCUAUGCAUUUCGUCCGGCAUGCUAACA